rnacentral:rRNA from 1 species
UACGGAGGGUGCAAGCGUUGUUCGGAAUCACUGGGCGUAAAGGGCGUGUAGGCGGUCCGCUAAGUCUGAUGUGAAAGCCCGAGGCUUACCCUCGGAAGUGCAUUGGAGACUGGCGGACUGGAGUCCCGGAGAGGAGGGUGGAAUUCCUGGUGUAGCGGUGAAAUGCGCAGAUAUCAGGAGGAACACCGGUGGCGAAGGCGGGUCUCUGGGCCGUAACUGACGCUGAGGAGCGAAAGCGUGGGGAGCGAACAGG